CACCUAACCUGCCCCCUAUGGCAUAUAUUCUUACUGUGGAUUGGGUGAAGAGAUUUCAGGAAGUCUAUGAACUUAGUUGAGGAAAAAUUAAUAAUUAUUUUCAUUAAUCUCUAAUUGAAAUUAGCAUUGCCUUCAAAUAUGAAUGUAGGCAAUAAAACAUUUUAAGUAAUGUAUAGGGUUCAUCAGAUUGCCAAAGUGAACCAUGACACACAGCUAAUUGGUAAUGAAGGCAAAAGAUGGAAACAGUCAAUAAUGGUGGAAAGUCAGAUGCAGAGACCACUAAGGAGAGGUUCCUGUUCCCGAAAAGAGCUGAAGCUGGAACUUGAAGAGAGGCCAUCCCGCAGAAAGGGGAGCAGGGAGCUCUGCAGGAUGCAUCUGAGGAGCAGGAGCAGGAGCCCAGAGCUUCCAGAUCUUGCGGUCAUACUGGAGGAAAGAGUCUCCUGGCUGGUACAAGCCAGCAGGAUUUGACUGGCAUCAUUUCUGAAGUCAAGAAAUAAAUAUUGUCUCAGAGGAUUGGUGUGGAUUUCC
rnacentral:lncRNA from 1 species